rnacentral:lncRNA from 1 species
UGGGAAUGGAACCACCAUUUGACCCAGCUAUUGCCCUUCUCGGACUAUUCCCUGAAGACCUUAAAAGAGCGUACUACAGGGAUACUGCCACAUCGAUGUUCAUAGCAGCACAAUUCACAAUAGCUAGACUGUGGAACCAACCCAGAUGCCCUUCAAUAGAUGAAUGGAUAAAAAAAAUGUGGCAUUUAUAUACCAUGGAGUAUUACUCUGCACUAAAAAAUGACAAAAUCAUGGAAUUUGCAGGGAAAUGGAUGGCGCUAGAGCAGAUUAUGCUAAGUGAAGCUAGCCAAUCCCUAAAAAACAAAUGCCAAAUGUCUUCUUUGAUAUAAUGAGAGCAACUAAGAACACAGCAGGGAGGAAGAGCAGGAGGAAAAGAUUAACAUUAAACAGAGACAUGAGGUGGGAGGGAAAGGGAGAGAAAAGGGAAAUUGCAUGGAAAUGGAAGGAGAUCCUCAUUGUUAUACAAAAUUACAUGUAAGAGGUUGUGAGGGGAAUGGGAAAAAAAACAAGGAGAGAAAUGAAUUACAGUAGAUGGGGUAGAGAGAGAAGAUGGGAGGUGAGGGGAGGGGGGAUAGUAGAGGAUAGGAAAGGCAGCAGAAUACAACAGACACUAGUAUGGCAGUAUGUAAAAAUGUGGAUGUGUAACCAAUGUGAUUCUGCAAUCUGUAUUUGGGGUAAAAAUGGG